GGAGCGGUGGAAUGCGCAGAUAUCAGGAGGAACACCAGUGGCGAAGGCGGUUCUCUGGGCCUUUCCUGACGCUGAGGAGCGAAAGCGUGGGGAGCGAACAGGCUUAGAUACCCUGGUAGUCCACGCUGUAAACGGUGGGUACUAGGUGUGGGGUCCAUUCCACGGGUUCCGCGCCGUAGCUAACGCUUUAAGUACCCCGCCUGGGGAGUACGGCCGCAAGGCUAAAACUCAAAGGAAUUGACGGGGCCCCGCACAAGCGGCGGAGCAUGCGGAUUAAUUCGAUGCAACGCGUAGAACCUUACCUGGGUUUGACAUGGAUCGGGAGUGCUCAGAGAUGGGUGUGCCUCUUUUGGGGUCGGUUCACAGGUGGUGCAUGGCUGUCGUCAGCUCGUGUCGUGAGAUGUUGGGUUAAGUCCCGCAACGAGCGCAACCCUUGUUCACUGUUGCCAGCACGUUAUGGUGGGGACUCAGUGGAGACCGCCGGGGUCAACUCGGAGGAAGGUGGGGAUGACGUCAAGUCAUCAUGCCCCUUAUGUCCAGGGCUUCACGCAUGCUACAAUGGCUGGUACAGAGAGUGGCGAGCCUGUGAGGGUGAGCGAAUCUCGGAAAGCCGGUCUUAGUUCGGAUUGGGGUCUGCAACUCGACCUCAUGAAGUUGGAGUCGCUAGUAAUC
rnacentral:rRNA from 1 species